UAAAUACUCCCUCUGUCCCAAAUUUUUUGUCUUAGGUUUGUCUAGAAANNNAUGUAUCUAAAUACUAAAAUAUGACUAGAUACAUUCAUAUCUAGACAAAUCUAAGAUAAGAAUUUUGGGACGGAGGGAGUGUACU
rfam:Hordeum vulgare subsp. vulgare, WGS project CAJW01000000 data, contig: morex_contig_40147